rnacentral:rRNA from 1 species
UACGAAGGUCCCAAGCGUUAUCCGGAUUUAUUGGGUUUAAAGGGUGCGUAGGCGGUCUAUUAAGUCAGUGGUGAAAGCCCCAAGCUCAACUUGGGAACUGCCGUUGAUACUGAUGGACUUGAGUACAUUUGAGGUGGGCGGAAUGUGUCAUGUAGCGGUGAAAUGCUUAGAUAUGACACAGAACACCGAUUGCGAAGGCAGCUCACUAAACUGUAACUGACGCUGAGGCACGAAAGCGUGGGGAGCAAACAGG